CUUGAACGCUGGCGGCAGGCCUAACACAUGCAAGUCGAGCGGUAGAGAGAAGCUUGCUUCUCUUGAGAGCGGCGGACGGGUGAGUAAUGCCUAGGAAUCUGCCUGGUAGUGGGGGAUAACGUUCGGAAACGGACGCUAAUACCGCAUACGUCCUACGGGAGAAAGCAGGGGACCUUCGGGCCUUGCGCUAUCAGAUGAGCCUAGGUCGGAUUAGCUAGUUGGUGAGGUAAUGGCUCACCAAGGCGACGAUCCGUAACUGGUCUGAGCGGAUGAUCAGGCAAAGUGGAACAGGAACAAGGUCCAGCCUCCUAGGGGAGGCAGCAGUGGGGAAGAUUGGAGAAUGGGCGAAAGCCUGAGCCAGCCAUGCCGCGUGGGUGGAGAAGGUCUUCGGAUUGUAAAGCACUUUAAGUUGGGAGGAAGGGUUGUAGAUCAAUACUCUGCAAUUUUGACGUUACCGACAGAAUAAGCACCGGCUAACUCUGUGCCAGCCGCCGCGGUAA
rnacentral:rRNA from 1 species